AGAUGAACCAGAGAUCCAUGGCUGUGGGUUCAUUGCUGGGAGGUCAACCACUGAGGAAGGGGCCACUAAGAGCCCCGAAACGCGUCUGGUACUGGACCCCCCGAUUCAACACAAGGACCAUCAACCUUUGCAGCUUUGAAUCUGUUUGGAGGAAAUCCACUGAGGGUACACCAUAUGUAUCUGCAGAGCUGUGGACUAUAAAGGGA